rnacentral:lncRNA from 1 species
GGUAUAUUUCUCAGAUGAGGUCUCUCUUCUGUUUUUGCUUUUCUGUCACAGGAUUUGAAUUUCUGAUCUCUCUGUGUAUGUUUGUCCAAGAAGCGAGGGGUCUUCCAUUUGGGGUUAUAUGUCCCCAUUUGUUCGAUCCCUGGCCUCACUCAGUGGGUGAAGUAUCUGGCAUUGCUGUGAGCUGUGGUGUAGGCCACAGACAUGGCUCGGAUUUGGGGUGCCUGUGGCUGUGGUGUAGGCCGGCACCUAUAGCGCUGAUUCGACCCCUAGCCCAGGAACCUCUACAUACCGCAGGUGCAGCCCUAAAAAGAGAAAAAGAAAAAAGAAUGUAUACAUAUGGGUAGGACUCAGUCACUUUGCUGUACAACAGAAAUUGACAUAACAUUGUAAAUCAAAACUAUACUUUAAAAAAAGAGGUCCUUUGUAGAUGCGAUUGGAGUUCCCUGGUGGCUCAGUAGGUUAAGGAUCUGGUUUAUCACUGCUAUGGCUUGGGUUGCUGCUGUGGCGCAGGUUCAGCCCAUGGCCCUGGAAGUUCCAUACGCUGCAGGUGUGGCCAAAAGAAAAACGUCCUUUGUAGUUGUGAUUAAGCAAAUCACCUUGAGAUGGAGGAGAUUAUCCUGAAUUUUUCAGGUGAGCAGAGUGUAAUGACAAAAGUCCUUGCAGAAGGCAGGAUAGUCAAAGAAGCAGAUGUGAUGACCAAAAUAGAGAUCAGAAAGAGAUGUGAGGAGUUCCCGUUGUGGCGCAGUGGUUAACGAAUCCGACUAGGAACCAUGAGGUUGCGGGUUCGGUCCCUGCCCUUGCUCAGUGGGUUAACGAUCUGGCGUUGCCGUGAACUGUGGUGUAGGUUGCAGACACGGCUCGGAUCCUGAGUUGCUGUGGCUCUGGCGUAGGCCGGUGGCUACAGCUCCGAUUCAACCCCUAGCCUGGGAACCUCCAUAUGCCGCGGGAGCGGCCCAAGAAAUAGCAACAACAACAACAACAAAACAACAACAACAACAACAAAAAAAAAAAAGAGAUGUGAGAGCGAAACACUGCCAGUUUUGAAGAUGGAGGAAGGGGCCAGGAGCUAAGGAUUGCAGGCAGCUUUAGAAACUGGAAAAGACAGAGUUCCCAUCAUGGCUCAGGGGUUAACGAAUCUGACUAGGAACCAUUGAGGUUGUGGGUUCGAUCCCUGACCUCGCUCAGUGGGUGAAGGAUCCAGCGUUGCCGUGAGCUGUGGUGUAGGUCGCAGACACAGCUUGGAUCUGGCGUUGCUGUGGCUGUGGUGUAGGCUGGUGGCUGCAUCUCCGAUUAGACCCCUAGACUGGGAACCUCCAUGUGCUCCAGGAAAGACAG